rnacentral:rRNA from 1 species
UUCUGGCUCAGGAUGAACGCUGGCGGCGUGCCUAAUACAUGCAAGUGAAACGGGUAUCUUCGGAUACCAGUCGCGGACGGGUGAGUAAUACAUAGGCAACCUGCCUUUAUGAGGGGGGAUAACCGAGGGAAACUUUGGCUAAUACCGCAUGAAGACUCUAAGGCAUCUUAGAGGGAUAAAAGUUGGGAAACAACGCAUGAAGAUGGGCUUAUGGCGCAUUAGCUAGUUGGUGAGAUAGAAGCCCACCAAGGUAAUGAUGCGUAGCCGACCUGAGAGGGUGAACGGCCACAUUGGGACUGAGACACGGCCCAAACUCCUACGGGAGGCAGCAGUAGGGAAUUUUGCACAAUGGGCGAAAGCCUGAUUGCAGCGACGCCGCGUGCGGGAUGAAGGCCUUCGGGUUGUAAACCGCUUUCAGCAGGGACGAGGCCGAAAGGUGACGGUACCUGCAGAAGAAGCCCCGGCUAACUACGUGCCAGCCGCUGC